rnacentral:rRNA from 1 species
ACAUAUACCGGAAAGCUGCAGAGAUGUGGCCCCCCUUCGUGGUCGGUAUACAGGUGGUGCAUGGCUGUCGUCAGCUCGUGUCGUGAGAUGUUGGGUUAAGUCCCGCAACGAGCGCAACCCUAUCUUAUGUUGCCAGCACGUUAUGGUGGGGACUCGUAAGAGACUGCCGGGGUCAACUCGGAGGAAGGUGGGGACGACGUCAAGUCAUCAUGCCCCUUAUGUCCAGGGCUUCACACAUGCUACAAUGGCCAGUACAGAGGGCUGCGAGACCGUGAGGUGGAGCGAAUCCCUUAAAGCUGGUCUCAGUUCGGAUCGGGGUCUGCAACUCGACCCCGUGAAGUCGGAGUCGCUAGUAAUCGCAGAUCAGCAACGCUGCGGUGAAUACGUUCCCGGGCCUU